rnacentral:rRNA from 1 species
AUGGCUUCUGCUGCCCGCGUGCUGACGCCAAUGGCGCUGCUGCUCUCGCUCGCGCUCCAGCUCGCGGCGGCCGCGGUGUCGCCCCCCGGUCCCAGACCCACCUUCCCGGGCGACGCGGCCGCACUGGCGUCGCUGAAAGCCGCCGUGGACGCCGCCACCGUCCCGUCCUACUCCUGCCUCGCCUCGUGGGACUUCUCCCGCGACCCCUGCGCCGCCUUCCCCUGCGGCGUCCACUGCAACACGCCCCCCAACUCGUCCCACCAGCGCGUCGCCGGCGUCUCCCUCGACCCCGCGGGGUACUCCGGCACGCUCCCGGCGCCCGUCUUCGCCUCGCUCCCUUUCCUCCAGACCCUCUCCCUCCGUGGCAACCGCUUCCACGGCUCGCUGCCAGCGGGGGUGGCGCUGCCUCCGAGCCUCCGCGUCCUCGUCCUCUCCGGCAACGACUUCUCCGGCGAGAUACCGACGUCCCUCUUCACCCCGGCCUCGUCGCUCGACGAGCUCGACCUCUCCCGCAACGCGUUCACCGGCGCGAUACCGCCUCAGGUCGCGUCCUUGGGCGCCCUGACGCGGAUGGAGCUGCAGCACAACCGCCUCACCGGGAGCCUGCCGUCGAUGGGCAAGAUGCGCUCCCUCGUCCACCUCGACGUCAGCGACAACAAGCUGUCCGGCCCGCUGCUGGACGCGCCCGGGCGGCUGCCUCCGACGGUCCUGGCCGUCGUGGCGCGUGACAACAGGCUCUCUGGGCCGUUGCAAGCCGCGGCCUUCCACGCUCUCCCUGAGAUGCAGGUGCUGGACCUCACCAACAAUGCGGUCACCGGCGCGGUCCCCGGCGCGGCGUUCGAGCACCCGGCGCUGGCGCAGCUGCGGCUGGGAUCCAACCAGCUCGGGACGGUGGAAGAGGCGUCCGACGGCGUCGCGUCGAGCCAGCUCCUGGAGGUGGACCUCAGCGGCAACAGAAUCACGGGGCGGCUGCCCAGGUGCCUCGGGGCGAUUCCGCGUCUCAGGACGGUGGGGCUCGACCGGAACCAGUUCGUCGGAGGCGUGCCGAAGCAGUACGCCGUGCGGGCCGCGGCGGUGGAGGUCGUCGACGGGAAGGCGCCGUUUGCGAAGCUGAUGCUGCAAGGGAACUACCUCUGCGGAGGCCUGCCCAGUGAGCUGAGGCAGAUGGAGGAGGGCGGCGCCAUGGUGAGCCUGGCGGACAAUUGCUUGCUGAAGUGUCCGCACAAGUUCUUCUUCUGCCAGGGGCCGCCGCAGAAGAACCGUGCCGCAUGUCCCAAGUGCGAACCGUGA